CAGUGAUGUACUGGGGUAUGUGGGCCUUUAGGAGACCAAUGCCACCUCUGAAUUCGAGAUCUUAAUUUUACAAUGAGUUCGUUGCUGGGGGAACUAGGAAGUCUUAGAAUAUAUUGUACACAAACAAGCCGUACCAGGCUCCGCAACCCCCUAGAUCGUUUAACAGGGUAACAACUCCCAGCUGGGUUAGCCCAGAUAUAGGGAAAAUUUAAUUUUGUACAAAUGAGUGACAAGGAACGUAUAGUGCGGAUUGGUCGAUGUCCUCAUGUGCUUCAAGUCCGUGUUUAGUAAAAUGCCUAGUUGCGUGAUAAGAACUGAUCCAGCCCGCUCAAUGUUGGGUGGGUCCCUUCCCUUCCUAUCCUCUGUCUAAUGUGCUGUCUACCCUCCCCGUGUGCCACUCCCCAUCCAUCCGGGCCUACACCGUUCGGUCACUCUGGGGGCUAUGGGCUAGUCCGGAGUGGGUCAUGUCAUGUCAUGUCAUGCACCCUGCCCCCCACCCAGCUGGUGCUACCACCCUGCUCCCGCUCCCAUGGGUGUACCUGCUCACACCUCCCAGGUUCCCCAUGUCCUCCCCAUGGUGAGCUACUGGCACAAGGAUACUGGAACAAGGACCCGCCACAGGAACAAGAACCACCCAGAAUCAAGGUUUGUUUGGUUCGGCAGCAGUCUCAGCCAAUUACCUGGUGGCCUGCCAUAGCCCCUGGUGGCCUCGGGGUACAUGACCCAAAGGGCCCCCCGGGGCAAGGGACCAUAGGAUUUUUAAAACUAAUUUUCCACUGGUUGCUAAUGCAUUUGUGACAACUUUUGGCUUUUGUUCCUCUUUAAAUGGCAAUGAAACUAUCAUGUCUCAAUAAAUGGUAUUGAGUCAGAAAGCCUGAUAAUUGCAAUGGAAAUGGUACAUGAUUGAUUUUUGAUUUUUGUUUAAAAAAUCAUUAAUAUUAGAUCCGAUAUUUAUCUGCUCCAGUUAGCUUUUUAUGACGAUGAUUAAAUCAAUUUGAACCGAUAAAAGGCUUAUUGGAAGCCGAUAAACAGCAAAUACGUGAUCGGUUGAUAAGUAAUCGAAGCUUAUGUAAGAGAUUUCUUUGACUUCUUUAUUUUAUUGUCUGAAUAGAAUUGAGGAUUAUUUUGUAUAUUGUGGUGUGCAGUAGGUUAUAUUGCUUAAAAAAAUUAGUACAAGAUUGCAGUACCUACAGCCGUCCACUAGAAGGUACUAUAUGCUCAAUAAACAAUUCAAUGGCAGCGUUGCCAGAAUUCCCAUUUUCUAACAGCUGGAAUAAAGGAUAUGAUUCAUCUGUGAAAUAAAUUACUUUAAUUAAAUGUCAGCUAUUCCUUACAUCAAAGAAUGUCUCCCUGAAAUAUAUGUAUGUUUGUAUGUCAACCAGGAGUUAAAGUCAAAUAUUAAGCUAAAAAUGUGGAAACUUUAUGGGUAGAUAUCUGCUUGGGGCAAAGAAUUUAAAUCAGUUAUUGGUUGGGAUAUGUUAUAAACCACCUCAUGUUGAUAUUGAUAAGAGACAACAGCUGUUUAAGCAAAUUGAAAAAGCUGCAAAUCUGGGUAACACGUUAAUUAUUGGAGAUUUUAAUUAUCCGGACAUAAAUUGGGACAGAGGGACUUGUAGUUCAGCAAAUGGAAUUAGGUUAUUAAAUCUGUUAAAUGACACCUUCCUGUCACAAACGGUAUAAGAACCAACUAGAAAGGACGCUUGUCUGGAUCUGGUUAUAACAAACAAGCACUUGGGAACUAGUGAUCAAACAUGAUGUCAUUUGAAAGAAACUCAAAAAAGCAAAUGUACAUGCGGAAUACUGAAAUAUAUCAUUUUAAAAGGGCCAAAUUCAAUAAGGUUAAGGCAGCUUUACAACAUACUGACUG
rnacentral:lncRNA from 1 species